rnacentral:lncRNA from 1 species
GAAUUUUAUUGAGCGAAAGAACAGCUCUCAGUGGAGAGGGGAUGCAGGGAGUGGUCAACCCCCACAGCAGGGUGAUUUCUCUCCUCACUGCAGUUGAGUCUGGGUCUUUUAUGGGCUCAGAAUAGGGGAAUACAUGUUGACUGAUUUGUAAGUAUGCAAAGGCACCACUCAAAGGUGGGUACAGCAGUGUAAAAACCAAUUAGGAAAGGGCAGGUAUAUGUAAAAUAGGUGAGGGGUUGGGAUCAAUCGGAGGAAAGCACACCAAAUGGGAAGACAGGUUCUCAAUUUAGUAUGAGGAUUUAGCCGGGACUGUCUUCAGCUUUAAGGUUGGGUUUCACCAGGUACCCACCCCUAUCUGCCUGGGCAUUUGACUGCCUCCUGCCACUAUCAUUACCUGAUUGGGUUUCCACAACCCACCAUCCACAGUGAGGAAGGGCAGGGCUCCUGAAAAUGAGCCAGCAAUUCUCCUUCAGGUGGAUGGAGAUACAAGUCUUACCAGUACAGUCUCAUGCACAAUCACACACACAAUGUCUCCACUUUGGUAUCUAGCAAUGGCUGAAAAAGCCACAGCACUGUGUGUGUCCUCUGAUGUCUGAUGAAGUAUGACUCCUGGCUAAAGGCUGUACCACAUUCCCUGUACACAUAAAGUUUCUAUCCUGAGUGUGUCCUCUGAUGUCUGAUAAGGUUGGACUUCCGACUAAAGCCCCGUCCACACUUUCUGCAAAUAUAAGGCUUCUCUCCUGAAUGUGUCCUCUGGUGUCUAAUGAGGUGUGACUGCCGGCUAAAGCCUUGCCCACACUCCCUGCAAAUGUAAGGCUUCUCUCCUGAAUGUGUCCUCUUGUGUCUGACCAGGUGUGAAUGCUGGCGAAAGCCACGCCCACAUUCCCUGCAAACAUAAGGCUUCUCCCCAGUGUGCGCCCUCUGGUGGGUGAUGAGGUUUGACUUCAGGCUAAAGCUCUGCCCACAUUCCUUGCACACAUAAGGCUUGAGCCCUGAGUGUGUCCGCUGAUGUGUAAAGAGGUUCGACUUCCAAGUAAAGCCUCGUCCACAAUCCUUGCACACAUAAGGUUUCUCCCCUGAGUGUGUCCUCUGAUGUGUGAUCAGGUUUGACUUCCACGUAAAGCCUCGCCCACAUUCCCUGCACCCAUAAGGCUUUCCCCCAGAGUGUGUCCUUGGGUUUUUGAUGAGGAUUGACAUACUGCCAAAGCUGUCUCCCCACUCAGUGUACAUGUAAGGUGUCUCCCCAGUUUGUGUCUUCUGGAGGCUAAGGAGGUUUGACUCCUUGAUAAAGCCUGGCCCAAACUCUUCAUAUUUGAUUUCUCCAAAUCCUGAGACUUCUAAACCAUGCAAUACUUUGUCUGUUUCCUCUAGGUCUGCCCUCCGUUCAGGGCUGGGCCCUAUAUCCACCACUGUGUUGUCUUCCUUGGACUGUGCUGGCUGUUCUUCAGGUGGGCUAGAAAGUACCUUUGAAGUGCCAUUUUUGCUUACUCUCCCAAACAGGAGUCUGGAGUCUUCUCCCUCUUGAAUCCAUUCUGCUUUGCCACUCAAGCAGAAUGGAUCCUGCUGUUGUUUCGGAUCU